rnacentral:rRNA from 1 species
UACGUAGGGUGCAAGCGUUUGUCCGGAAUUAUUGGGCGUAAAGAGCUCGUAGGCGGUUUGUUGCGUCGGCUGUGAAAUCCCGAGGCUCAACCUCGGGUCUGCAGUCGAUACGAGCAAACUAGAGUGUUGCAGGGGAGACUGGAAUUCCUGGUGUAGCGGUGAAAUGCGCAGAUAUCAGGAGGAACACCGGUGGCGAAGGCGGGUCUCUGGGCAACAACUGACGCUGGAGGAGCGAAAGCGUGGGGGAGCAA